rnacentral:rRNA from 1 species
AGAGCGAACGCUGGCGGCAGGCUUAACACAUGCAAGUCGAACGGAUCCUUCGGGAUUAGUGGCGGACGGGUGAGUAACACGUGGGAACGUGCCUUUAGGUUCGGAACAACACAGGGAAACUUGUGCUAAUACCGGAUGUGCCCUUCGGGGGAAAGAUUUAUCGCCUUUAGAGCGGCCCGCGUCUGAUUAGCUUGUUGGUGAGGUAAAGGCUCACCAAGGCUACGAUCAGUAGCUGGUCUGAGAGGAUGGCCAGCCACAUUGGGACUGAGACACGGCCCAAACUCCUACGGGAGGCAGCAGUGGGGAAUCUUGCGCAAUGGGGGAAACCCUGACGCAGCCAUGCCGCGUGGAUGAUGAAGGUCUUAGGAUUGUAAAAUCCUUUCAGCGGGGACGAUAAUGACGGUACCGCAGAAGAAGCCCGGCUAACUUCGCGCCAGCAGCCGC